rnacentral:rRNA from 1 species
CCAAUAGCGUAUAUUAAAGUUGUUGCAGUUAAAAAGCUCGUAGUUGAAUUUCGGGAUUGACGUGAUGGUCGUGCCUUACGGGGUAUGAACUGUUGCUGUUGAUUUCUCACCUUCUGGAGAAACUUGAUGUCCUUAAUUGGGUGUCUUGCGGAUCCAGGACCUUUACCUUGAAAAAAUUAGAGUGUUUAAAGCAGGCAUUUUGCUCGAAUACAUUAGCAUGGAAUAAUAGAAUAGGACGGCAUGGUUCUAUUUUGUUGGUUUCUAGGAUCACCGUAAUGAUUAAUAGGGAUAGUUGGGGGGAUUAGUAUUCAAUUGUCAGAGGUGAAAUUCUUGGAUUUAUUGAAGACUAACUACUGCGAAAGCAUUUGCCAAGGAUGUUUUCAUUAAUCAAGAACGAAAGUUAGGGGAUCGAAGACGAUCAGAUACCGUCGUAGUCUUAACCAUAAACUAUGCCGACUAGGAAUCAGACGAUGUUAAUUUUUUAAUGACUCGUUUGGCACCUUACA